AGUUUGGCACAACUGAAUGGAAGCCAUUCAAGCUGAAAGUCUCUGUGGUUGCUUCUUCAUGUCUGAACUAUUUUGAGAUUUAGAGCUCAGAUAUUCUGCUGGGAACAGACAGUGAUCCAACUGGAACCAGAGGACCCAUCCUUCUCCAUUCCGCGGCCCAUAAUACUAGAACACCUGGAUCCAGAAACCCUCCCAUACUCUCUCUGCACUGUCACAGGUGUGGUUGUAGCAGUGGAUGAAAGCACAGCGUUUUCCUGGCCCACCUGCAGCCGC